AAAGUCGAUUUAAGCUGUCGGUCUGCAUAUGCCGUCCCCACACACACACUUUAUUGUAUAUUUCGGACUCAAAUCUCGGCAAUGAUUCGAUUCUCCGGCCAGCCAAAGAUAAAUUAAAAUAACUAUAGAAUACCCAAUAGAUUACCUCCACACCGUAACCAUCUACACACCACCUUCAAAACGCCUAUAUCGACGUUCGAAGCACACCAAACCUUUUCCGACGACUUCAUUUUUCUGAUCUACUGCUUAUCUCCAAUUUAAGAAUCUCCGGCUAUCGCAACCGUUGAGGAAUCGGACCACCGUAGACCACCGCAUAUGACAACCAUGAAGGGGUGACAAAUCUGAAUCCUAUCGACUUUCUUGUAAUCAUCUUGUGCGCACGACUUUCGUGAUUGUCUAGACGUAAUCUAUUAUCUCCAGUUUGUGAUCAUCGCUUAAGGUUUAAGAUUAUGUACAUGUAUUAUAUUACCCAAGUCGGUCCCUUUUCUGUGAGGAUGACCAUAGACCCAUCAUUGUGGCAUAAAAUGAUGUGGCACCAUCCGUUAUCAAGACAAUCUGGGACGGGAUACAGAAGAGUGCUCGAGUAAAUUGAAAAAAAAAAACCUUAGAAAUAAUGUACUGGAUUAGAUAUCUUAUUUCCAUUAAGUUGUAAAGCCUUGUAAUACAUUUAAGUAUUAAUGGAAUUAUGUUUUU
rnacentral:lncRNA from 1 species